ACUCGAUAAUCCACGCAUACCCAACCUUCUCUAGAUAUACAGCAUGUGUACUGCCGUUGCAAGCAUACCUUUAAAAGAACAAGUAUGCCACUAUGGCUAGUAAUAGCCCACACACAUCAGGUCAAAGUGCAGCCAAUAAGAAGGUGAUGAUGGGUUACAACCCAAAAACAGAAUAUCAACUAAGAAAUUAAAAAUCUUACGAAAGUGGACUUGGCUGUAAUUAAUUUAUAAGUUAAGAAAAUGAACAAAAAUCUAAGACAUGCACACAUCGCCCGUCACUCUAUCCUAAAGGAUAGAUAAGUCGUAACAAAGUAGGUGUAAUGGAAAUUGCACCUGUCGAAGUAUAGCAUAUAUAAUGCUUUUUACUUACACUAAAAAUAAAGUUAAAUAACUUGCUUCGCACAUAUAAAUAAGCCCUAUAAAUAAAAAACAAUAAAAACAGUUAAAUAGUUAACAACACAAAGUACAGAAAUGGAAAAAAUAAUAAAUAAAAGUAAAUCUUAAUAAAUGUACCUUGUGCAUUAUGGUUUUACAAGAAAACAAUCAAAAUAGUAAUCCCGAAUUCUAAGUGAGAUGUUAAACUGCUGUUAUGAACCCAUUAAUAGCUGUAUAAAAAGCUUUAAAAGACAGUUUAACAGAGGCUACAUACCAUCCGCACAAGAAUAUAGCUGGUUUUUAACAAACAUUAUUUAUUAAAACAUAUAACGUUGUUAUAGUGUAAUAUUAUUGAGGAUAAGCCCAAUAACCUAAGCAAUACUAAGUAAUGAUUCUAUUAAAUUUAAUAGGCCUAAAAACAGCCAAUUAAAAUACUUUAUAGUAAUAAGAAAAGAAAAAAUAAGUACCGAAUACAUGCUAAAAUAAGUUAAAACACUGGAUAAACCACUACAUCCACCUAUACUAUGUAAAAAUAAGUAUUAAAAAAUAUAUCACAACCUAACUAGUAACACCAAAUACAAAAACAACCAUAAUUAAUUAAGGAACUCGGCAAACCAUUGUUUCGACUGUUUAACAAAAACAUUGUCUUAUGUAUAAAAUAUAAGAUAAAACCUG
rnacentral:rRNA from 1 species